rnacentral:rRNA from 1 species
CAGCUCCACAAGUGGGAGUCGUAUUUAUUUGGCCUAAAGCGUCCGUAGCUGGUUGAGUAAAUCUCUUGUGAAAUCGUUGAGCUCAACUCAACGGCGUGCAGGAGAGACUGCUUGACUAGGGACCGGGGGGAGUCAGAAGUAUGUUAAGGGGAGCGGUAAAAUGCUAUAAUCCUUAACAGACUACCUGUGGCGAAGGCGUCUGACUAAAACGGGUCCGACAGUGAGGGACGAAAGCCAGGGGAGCAAACCGGAUUAGAUACCCGAGUAGUCC